CUGCACUGUAUGCACACAGAUGCUGGAGCAUCGAAGCUCUCACGUGUUUACUCUACUUGUUGGAAAAACCUGAGCCUCUGCAUCCACAUAGUUGCCCAUCUUGGCUCAUGGAUGCUCAAGAGUCAUACUCCUGCUCAAACAUAUAAGGAUAAACUGCUUGCAGCAGGAACUCCACCGCUGUCGAAGAUGCAUUCCUCCAGUAAAAAUUCAGUCUGAGUUGAUGAAAAUGCUUCAAACCCUACAUCAGAAUCUGUUAAAACUCUUUCAUCCUGUGUAGUGUUUACUAAAGUCCACAAAUCACCCUGAAACUCGCUUUUUUUGUGUCAUUGUUGUAGCCAUCUACCAGACCUUAUGACCUCCUCUAACACUGAAAACUACAUAUUUUGGCAAAGUACUGCAUUGGAAAUUCAGAAUGUUUGUAUCCUGCUGUUUAUUAUUAUAUUUAUACUGUUGCUGAAAAGCAAAUGUACCUCUGGCAAUUAAUUUUAAAUGUCGAAUGCUAAAUAAAUCACCAUCUGUGUGCGAGGAUUCUUCAUUGUUUUGUUUUUUUGUUGUUGUAAAUAUAAACUACUAAUUUUACAAUAAAUGAUUCUCUCUGCUGUA